rnacentral:lncRNA from 1 species
GUAACAGGAACCUGUAAAUAAGAAACUGACAUUCUCCAAAGGGGAGGGAGCAAGGACUUAACGGGAAAUGUAGUUUUUAUUUUGGUAUUGAACUUCGGGGCCCCUUUUGCGCGUGCGUACUUCAGCUCCGUAGGUGCAAGUUGUCUUUCCCCAGGCUACAGCCUCGCUUGGGAGGAGGCUCCGGGGCGGUGGAGUCUCUGCGAUCAUCCGGGGCCAGUGCAGCCCAACAAGGGAGCGGUCACCGCUUCCUUAGAACAGAGCAGCUCUUGAGGUAAGAAGGGAUAAUCCUCAGGAAACCCAUCUGGAAGAUCACCCCUCCAUCUCAGACCUCUCACCAGGGCCUCAGAACAGAGGCAGAAGAGGCCCAGGAAAGACUAUGCCAGAACUGCCUGGACAGAAGUAAUCCUUGGUCCUCCUACCCAGAAUGGGCAACACUGGGUGAUGUCACCACAUCCAGAAUUCCGGACUGUCUAGCGAUCAGCUUCAGAACUGAGGUGAGGCUGGCAGCACCGCCGAGGGCCCCUCACAGGAGGCUUUGUGAGGACACAGUCCAAGAAAAGGAGUCACCACCCGCAGAAGGGGACAUUGCCCCUUUGCCUGCCCUCAUCAGCCCCAGUCCCUUCGCUCUGCGCUUACUCUCCGCACAACCUAGAGAGAUGCUCCAUUACGCCUGCUGUUCUGAUGCUGUACCUUUACAGUUCUCUUCAGUUUUCCAAGAGCAACAGGAAAUGAACAAGUCACCGACAAGAAGGGACAGCUCUUCCCUACAGAAGAAUUCCAAUGAAUAAAUAUGGAAGGAAUGAAGAAAAUAGAAAUAUUACCACUAGAACACCAUCGGAAUCAUUGUUGCAGGAAAGAUCCUUUAAUGGAGGCUCAGAUUAGGUUUGAGGAGAACAGGAUAUAUGCAUAGACUCAAAGUAUCUUCUCCCCAAAAUAUUUAAUUACAGAUGGAAAGAUAGUAAGUUCACAGAAGAGAAAUCCUGCAGACACCACCUUAACCAAGUGAUCAACAUUAACGUCUGUGGUCGUAAGACAUUGUGAUACAUACUGAUACAAAAUUGGUAUUCUUGCCAGAAAUGCCUCAUCUCAACCUAAUCGUGAGAAAGCAUCAGAUAAAUCUAAGAGACUUUCUACAAAAUAACUGACCAGUGCUGUUUGGAAGUGUCAAGGUCAUGGAAGACAAGAAAAGACAGGAACUGUCACAGUUUGGAGUGUGGAAUCCUGGAUUCGAUCUUGGGACAGAAAAAGGAUAUUAAUGAAAAAAUUGGUAACAUCUGAAUAAAGGCUAUAGUUUGGUUAAUAGCA